GACGGAAGGUGCAAGCGUUGCUCGGAAUCACUGGGCGUAAAGGGCGCGUAGGUGGCCACUAUAAGGCCGCGGUGAAAGUUCGGGGCUCAACCCUGAAUCUGCCGCGGCGACUGUAGGGCUAGGGCACCGUAGAGGCAGAUGGAAUUCCGGGUGUAGCGGUGGAAUGCGUAGAGAUCCGGAAGAACACCGGUGGCGAAGGCGGUCUGCUGGACUGCAACUGACACUCAGGGACGAAAGCUAGGGGAGCGAAUGGG
rnacentral:rRNA from 1 species